rnacentral:rRNA from 1 species
ACGAACGCUGGCGGCGUGCUUAACACAUGCAAGUCGAACGGAGAUAGUUUGAAAGCUUGCUGAUAACUAUCUUAGUGGCGCACGGGUGAGUAACACGUGGGCAACCUGCCCGGAAGACUGGGAUAACACCUCGAAAGGGGUGCUAAUACCGGAUACCUUCGCGAAGUCGCAUGACUUUGUGCAGAAAGAAAUUCGCUUCCGGAUGGGCCCGCGUCCCAUUAGCUAGUUGGCGAGGUAACGGCUCACCAAGGCGACGAUGGGUAGCUG